AUUCAGAUGACGAGUCCCGAAUAGGACGAAACGCGCGUCAAACUGGAU
rnacentral:hammerhead_ribozyme from 1 species